AAAAAGUCCACAGCCAUAGGUGUGGCUAGCCCGCCCCAGUGUGCAGCUCUAGCUGACAGGCUACUGAGCCUGGGGAAAUGCCAGCUAUCUGGAGAAUCUGCGAGACAGAUCAUCCAUUUCCACUUCUAAGCUGUAAGGGACACUGGAUUAUUUCCCUUGUGCAUUUGUGUUCCCAGGGAGGUGACAAAUUCCAGAGGUAUUGAUGCAGAGUACCCAAGGCUCUCCGCCUCCCUCUCUACCAGCCUCUCACUGGUUCCUACCACAUCAGACCAGGCAAUGUGCUCACACAUGGAUGAGCCUUCUAAAGCCCAACACACCCUGCCUGCACCCCUGGGGUCCACAGCCUCUGCCUGCACCCCUGGAGUCCAAAAGAAACUUGCAGGCUGGGGCUGUCAGGUAUGCACAGGGCCAGAGGAAGAAGGCAGGAGCCCCAAGGAUCCGAUCCAUCAGGCUAAGAAGGUCAGAGAAGGCUACAGCAUGAUGCUUAACACUGCCCAUGCUGGCUGGUAGAGGCCCAAGGGCUCUGUGGGGAUCUGCCACCUUUUCUGCCAAUGAAGGGGACAUCACAGACCAGAGACUUGCCACCUGCAUGCUCCCAACAGCAGAGGCCGUGGCACAAUCCCAGAGCUGCUAGGGAUCCCUGAGAGGACAUGGGUGAAACAACAUGGUGCUAGCCCAUGGUAAGUGUAUGCAUAUAUGUGUGCAGGUACAGGUCGGGAACCCCAUGGAGGUGACCCUACAGCCCUGCAGGGCUUGAGUUCAGGGCAAGGCUCCUAUGCCAGGCAGUGGCAUCCAGGCCUACCUGCCCAUAUGUGCCAGAGCCUACAUCAUGGACACAGCAUAGGAGAAAGCACAGAUUAUGUGGGUCAGCAGCGUACUCUGCUUCGCCCUGUGCCCUGGGGGCACAUGGCUGAACCCACACACAAGGACAAUCAGUGCCAGACUGAGCAGUCAUGCCCUGGGACCCCUCCUGCUGAAGAGGGCUGAGAGGCAUGGGCACAGAGAAAUAUGCUAGAGGGCAGGGUGGCAGGACUCUGGGCUGAGGGUGUAUUAAUAGUUGCUGGGCCCCAUGAGCACUGUCCACAUGCUCAGAGUCCAUGUGGAUUGCAGGAGGGCGGCACAGUGUGCACUGGGAGAGAAGGCCAUGGAGUUCCUGCUGAACCACUCAAUAGCUUAAAAUACAACCAGCCCCUCUCCCUCCUGGGCCCGCUGCCGGGGAGGGCUGAAACCCUAGCCUCUCCCCGGGCUGGGGCUCUGCAGCCAGGCCAGGAGUCGUGGUGCACCAACUGGCUAUGAGUGGGCAGCAAGCAUGGAGAGGGGCCACAGCGAAGAGUGAUCCCAAGCCACAAGGAGAGGAGCUGCCUGAACCAGAGGAAGACUCUGGCAAACCAGGAAGCUUAAGGAAGCCAGACCUAAACCUGGAGGACAAACUGACUAGAGGUGUUCGUCGGACAUUGUCCAUUAUGUCCACCCGACUCCACUCAAGCCAGCAGGCAGGUGAGUCUAUGCACACACUUAGCUUGCCAGACAACCCUCUAGGAUCCUCAAUCACAGCUCAUUCUUAAAGAAGAAUUCCUACUUUACAAAUAAACCCCUUUGUGGAAAAACCAAGGCACAUUCCAGACACUAUGGAAAUCUGGAAAUCCAGCCAUAUUAGAAAAACACGUCUUUGCCAGGAGCAUGCUGGGCGUACCUAAGGUUUAGUUUCAACCCCCAGCAUAAAGGAAGGGCAGUGAGAGAAUGAGUAUGUAAAGAAAAUAGUUCUACAUGAGAAGGUGGCAUCACAAAACACCACAUGGAUCGGACAAAGGUGUGCGGCAGGGGCAGUACAUGCAGUUUUCUAUACAAAGUGGUCAAGAACAACCACCCUAGCCAUACUUCAGAAGGCAAAGUGGAUCUCUGUGAGUAUGAGGCUGGACUGCCCUACAUGAGUGUCAGGCCAGCCUGGCCACAGAGUGCUUAGUGAAAUCCUGUCAGGAGAGGCAGGGUGAGGAUGGGGCUCACUGAAGGGUCGAAAGUCCCGAAAGAGUAAAGGCGACCAUCCACACGGGAAGAACAGCUGUGCAAAGGCCCUGAAGUGAAGCAUAACAGGUGGUCACACAUUCGUGGUCUGGAGUCAUGCACAUGACAGGAAGGAGAUGAGGUGGAAACACGGAGGUGACGUGGAGAAGGGCCCAAGGGCUGGGUGAGGAGAGGGAGCUAUGGGGAGCUAUGGGCAGAAGAGUUAAGGCCUGACUUGAGUUUAAAUCCGCUUACUUUGUUGUGAUUGUUGACACAGGGACCUGAAGCUCACUGCAUGUCUGUAGAGGUCUGCUGCCCCAAGUGCACGCACCAGCCCCCGCAGCUGCAGCCUGAGUUCUUAAGAAAUCCUUUUGAGAGAAUUAGUAGUAGAGACCUGGAGGAGGCUGGGAAAAUAAUUCCCUCCAAACAGCGAUGGCACUAGGCAUGGGAGCACACAGACUUGUACUGGCAGUACACUGGAAGGGUCAGGCUGAGACCA